UACAGAGGUCUCAAGCGUUGUUCGGAUUCAUUGGGCGUAAAGGGUGCGUAGGUGGCGUGGUAAGUCGGAUGUGAAAUCCCGGGGCUCAACCCCGGAACUGCAUUCGAUACUGCCUUGCUAGAGUACUGGAGAGGAGAUUGGAAUUUACGGUGUAGCAGUGGAAUGGCGUAGAUAUCGUAAGGAAGACCAGUGGCGAAGGCGGACCUCUGGACGUUACUGACACUGAGGCACGAAGGCCAGGGGAGCAAACGGG
rnacentral:rRNA from 1 species